ACUCCUACGGGAGGCAGCAGUGGGGAAUUUUGCGCAAUGGGGGAAACCCUGACGCAGCAACGCCGCGUGAGUGAUGAAGGCCCUUGGGUCGUAAAGCUCUGACAGAGGGAAAGAAAUGUGGGUGGCUAAUAUCCAUACCACUUGACGGUACCCUCAAAGGAAGCACCGGCUAACUCCGUGCCAGCAGCCGCGGUAAUACGGAGGGUGCGAGCGUUGUUCGGAUUUAUUGGGCGUAAAGCGCGUGUAGGCGGUUUUAUAAGUCUGAUGUGAAAGCCCCGGGCUCAACCUGGGAAGUGCAUUGGAUACUGUAAGACUUGGAUACGGGAGAGGGCAGUGGAAUUCCUAGUGUAGGAGUGAAAUCCGUAGAUAUUAGGAGGAACACCGGUGGCGAAGGCGGCUGCCUGGACCGAUAUUGACGCUGAGACGCGAAAGCGUGGGUAGCAAACAGGAUUAGAUACCCUGGUAGUCCACGCUGUAAACGAUGAGAACUAGGUGUCGCGGGUA
rnacentral:rRNA from 1 species